UACGUAGGGUGCAAGCGUUGUCCGGAAUUAUUGGGCGUAAAGAGCUCGUAGGCGGUCUGUCGCGUCUGCUGUGAAAACUCGGGGCUUAACCCCGGGACUGCAGUGGGUACGGGCAGACUAGAGUGCGGUAGGGGAGACUGGAAUUCCUGGUGUAGCGGUGAAAUGCGCAGAUAUCAGGAGGAACACCGGUGGCGAAGGCGGGACUCUGGGCCGAUACUGACGCUGAGGAGCGAAAGCAUGGGGAGCAAACAGG
rnacentral:rRNA from 1 species